GUCUUUCCUCGAGGCGGAGUAGGGUCUUUGCCUCCAUUGCCUCCACUUCCAGCUCCAUCACCAAAUUCUUCGCAGUUGUGGUGGUCAAGGUUCUCUAAAAUUGAAUCUUCAUUGUCUUAAUAGGUUGUCAACUAUCGUUCGGGAUUCGAUGGUGAACUUCUUUUCAAGCUCUACACCGGGUAUACGACUGUUGAUGGAUAAUGGAUCACGUACAGAUAACUACUUCAUUGAUUUAGGAGACUGCAAAGUGGUCUUUUUGAUUCGUUGGUAUAGUGGCAGCCCUGGUUGUGCUUUUUCCAAUCGCCUCAUUUAUGAAAAUGGUACUGUCUUUUUCACUCUAAAGGGUUAAAAACUCACAAACGGGUAACUGUUGUUGCUGAGGAUGAAAAAAAGAAAUGACUGUUGGUUGAUAUUUAUACAUGUCCUUUGGAUUUCAUCCUUACAGAUAUGAAGGAGGUGUACCCACAUUCCUUAAAGUUCUGUUAUUGAUCUUAGUUUUGUUACGAAAUUCGUGAUAUGUUGUGGCAAUUUCACAGAUUGCAAGCAUUUUGUUUCUUGAUCUGUUAACAUGGGUUUUGCAAAACAAUAAAGCUUGAUACUAUCCAGUAUGAUCCUCCUAUAAUUUUAUAGUUGCAGUAUAACAAGUUUGAUUUAAUACUUAUAACUUAUGAUCUGAUUAUUUCAUUAAUUAAUACCCUUUCAGAUUCAUCUAUGAAUCUACACGGAUGAUAGACCAGCACAUAUAUGUCUUAUUAGGAGAUAGAAUUGUGGGUGGAUUCACCAUUGUGGAUGGACAAUUGGAAAGUAUGAUUCAUAGGUUUGUUUUGUUUUCCCUCUUUAAUUUACUUGAUACAUGGUUGAUAUUUAAACACAAAUAGAACAUCUUCCAUUAAUCAAAAACUGUGUUUUAGUUGAAGUUAUUAUUGCAGUCAAACUAAUGAAGAUCACACGGAUAGUUCAUAUGCACCACUGAGAAAUACACCCAAAUUGAAAUCAAUAGCACUCAAGACUCAAUAUUACCAGAGCUCAGCUUCUCAAAGACCUUCCAUUACACCAAGCCAAAUAUUCGAUUACUCAAAAUAUCUCAUAUAUUUAGUUUCAUUAUCCUAUAUACUGGUAGUCCUUAUCUUAUGUUUAUAGUUUCUAUAUUUGUCUCUGCGUAUAAUUGACCUUCUAAUCAAUCAGUUAGAGUUCUUUUUGUUUGGUUUUAAUUUGAAGGAAGUUUAUAGAUUAUUAAUAGAUAUCUUCCUGUAAUGGCACAGUUUUCUUGCCAUUCUUUGUUCUUUAUCUUGAACCGUUGAUGGGUUUGUUGUUUUAAUGUUUAUUUUACAAAUUGUUUCUCUUAGUAGGAUGUAAUGGCAGUUUUGUAAUGUGAUCCAAAUUGACUUAGUGUUGCUGGACUACAUUCUUUGAGAAAAUAUGAACCUUAGAUUUCAUGGAAGAAUUUAGCAGACAUCAUUAGGUCUUUUGCUUUCUUAUGUAAAAUGGAUGAAGAGUUAGCUAGCUUUGAUGAAAAUGCUAGAGUAGACACCACAUAUUUCACUAAAUUAUAGUAGGGGACGAUGGUUUAAAAUAACAUUAAUUUUCAUCAUCUAGGUCAGAGAAUUUUAAUAGGUGAUACAUUUUUCAAGUCUUCAUGAAUUCUAAAACAAAUCGAUUUAAGUUUUUAACUCUGCCUUAUGGCAACCAAAAUAUUUUUAACACCCACUUGAUUCGACAUUAACAAUUUUUACAUUACCGGCAACAACUUGAACAUAACUUCCUUAAUUGCUUUCUUAUUGAGAUUAUUAGCUCUGUCUUAGUUGAUCUCAAUGAUAUGUAGCUAUAUAUGACAUUUCCCCUGACUUCUUCCUUGAAAAAAGAGAGUAAAAA